rnacentral:rRNA from 1 species
UACACGACCGUACCGCAAACCGACACUGGUGCGCGAGAUGAGUAUUCUAAGGCGCUUGAGAGAACUCAGGAGAAGGAACUCGGCAAAUUGACACCGUAACUUCGGAAGAAGGUGUGCCUUUAGUAGGUGAAGGGAUUUACUCCUAGAGCCCAAUGAGGUUGCAAAAAAUCGGUGGCUGCGACUGUUUAUUAAAAACACAGCACUCUGCAAACACGAAAGUGGACGUAUAGGGUGUGACGCCUGCCCGGUGCUGGAAGAUUAAAUGAUGGGGUGCAAGCUCUUGAUUGAAGUCCCAGUAAACGGCGGCCGUAACAAUAACGGUCCUAAGGUAGCGAAAUUCCUUGUCGGGUAAGUUCCGACCUGCACGAAUGGCGUAACGAUGGCCACACUGUCUCCUCCUGAGACUCAGCGAAGUUGAAAUGUUUGUGAUGAUGCAAUCUCCCCGCGGAAAGACGGAAAGACUCCAUGAACCUUUACUGUAGCUUUGUAUUGGACUUUGAACAGAUCUGUGUAGGAUAGGUGGGAGGCUUUGAAGUAGGGUCGCUAGAUCUUAUGGAGCCAACGUUGAAAUACCACCCUGGUGUGUUUGAGGUUCUAACCUAGGUCCAUUAUCUGGAUCGGGGACAGUGCAUGGUAGGCAGUUUGACUGGGGCGGUCUCCUCCCAAAGCGUAACGGAGGAGUUCGAAGGUACGCUAGUUACGGUCGGACAUCGUGACGAUAGUGCAAUGGCAUAAGCGUGCUUAACUGCGAGACUGACAAGUCGAGCAGAUGCGAAAGCAGGACAUAGUGAUCCGGUGGUUCUGUAUGGAAGGGCCAUCGCUCAACGGAUAAAAGGUACUCUGGGGAUAACAGGCUGAUACCGCCCAAGAGUUCAUAUCGACGGCGGUGUUUGGCACCUCGAUGUCGGCUCAUCUCAUCCUGGGGCUGUAGCCGGUCCCAAGGGUAUGGCUGUUCGCCAUUUAAAGAGGUACGUUAGCUGGGUUUAAAACGUCGUGAGACAGUUUGGUCCCUAUCUUCCGUGGGCGCUGCAGAUUUGAGGAAGCCUGCUCCUAGUACGAGAGGACCGGAGUGGACACACCUCUGGUGUAUCGGUUGUCACGCCAGUGGCAUUGCCGAGUAGCUAAGUGUGGAAGAGAUAACCGCUGAAAGCAUCUAAGCGGGAAACUCGUUUCAAGAUGAGAUCUGCCGGGGCCUUGAGCCCCCUAAAGAGUCGUUCAAGACCAGGACGUUGAUAGGUCGGGUGUGGAGGCGCAGUAAUGCGUUAAGCUAACCGAUACUAAUUGCUCGUGCGGCUUGA